rnacentral:rRNA from 1 species
AGCGAACGCUGGCGGCAGGCCUAACACAUGCAAGUCGAACGAUCCUUCGGGAUAGUGGCGGACGGGUGAGUAACACGUGGGAACGUGCCCUUUGGUUCGGAACAACUCAGGGAAACUUGAGCUAAUACCGAAUGUGCCCUUCUGGGGAAAGAUUUAUCGCCAUUGGAGCGGCCCGCGUCUGAUUAGCUAGUUGGUGAGGUAACGGCUCACCAAGGCGACGAUCAGUAGCUGGUCUGAGAGGAUGAUCAGCCACACUGGGACUGAGACACGGCCCAGACUCCUACGGGAGGCAGCAGUGGGGAAUCUUGCGCAAUGGGCGAAAGCUUGACGCAGCCAUGCCGCGUGAAUGAUGAAGGUCUUAGGAUUGUAAAAUUCUUUCACCGGGGGCGAUAAUGACGGUACCCGGAGAAGAAGCCCCGGCUAACUUCGUGCCAGCAGCCGCGGUAAUAC